rnacentral:rRNA from 1 species
GACGGAAGGUGCAAGCGUUGCUCGGAAUUACUGGGCGUAAAGGGCGCGUAGGCGGCCUACUAAGUCAGACGUGAAAUCCCCCGGCUUAACCUGGGAACUGCGUCUGAUACUGGAAGGCUUGAGUAUGGGAGAGGGAUGUAGAAUUCCAGGUGUAGCGGUGAAAUGCGUAGAUAUCAGGAGGAACACCGGUGGCGAAGGCGGUUCUCUGGGCAUGAUCUGACGCUGAGGAGCGAAAGUGUGGGGAGCGAACAGG